rnacentral:tRNA from 2 species
GCCGCUGUAGCUCAGUUGGUAGAGCAAAGGACUGAAAAUCCUUGGGUCGCCGGUUCGAGUCCGGCUGGCGGCACCA